UAAACACUCUAAAGACACAUUGUU
rnacentral:miRNA from 1 species